AUACAUGCAGUCGAACGCUUUUUCUUUCACCGGAGCUUGCUCCACCGAAAGAAAAAGAGUGGCGAACGGGUGAGUAACACGUGGGUAACCUGCCCAUCAGAAGGGGAUAACACUUGGAAACAGGUGCUAAUACCGUAUAACACUAUUUUCCGCAUGGAAGAAAGUUGAAAGGCGCUUUUGCGUCACUGAUGGAUGGACCCGCGGUGCAUUAGCUAGUUGGUGAGGUAACGGCUCACCAAGGCCACGAUGCAUAGCCGACCUGAGAGGGUGAUCGGCCACACUGGGACUGAGACACGGCCCAGACUCCUACGGGAGGCAGCAGUAGGGAAUCUUCGGCAAUGGACGAAAGUCUGACCGAGCAACGCCGCGUGAGUGAAGAAGGUUUUCGGAUCGUAAAACUCUGUUGUUAGAGAAGAACAAGGAUGAGAGUAGAACGUUCAUCCCUUGACGGUAUCUAACCAGAAAGCCACGGCUAACUACGUGCCAGCAGCCGCGGUAAUACGUAGGUGGCAAGCGUUGUCCGGAUUUAUUGGGCGUAAAGCGAGCGCAGGCGGUUUCUUAAGUCUGAUGUGAAAGCCCCCGGCUCAACCGGGGAGGGUCAUUGGAAACUGGGAGACUUGAGUGCAGAAGAGGAGAGUGGAAUUCCAUGUGUAGCGGUGAAAUGCGUAGA
rnacentral:rRNA from 1 species